CGGACGGGUGAGUAACGCGUGAGAAUCUACCCUUAGGAUGGGGACAACAGUUGGAAACGACUGCUAAUACCCGAUGUGCCGAGAGGUAAAACUUAUAUGGCCUGAGGAAGAGCUCGCGUCUGAUUAGCUAGUUGGUAGUGUAAGGGACUACCAAGGCGACGAUCAGUAGCUGGUCUGAGAGGAUGAUCAGCCACACUGGGACUGAGACACGGCCCAGACUCCUACGGGAGGCAGCAGUGGGGAAUUUUCCGCAAUGGGCGAAAGCCUGACGGAGCAAGACCGCGUGGGGGAGGAAGGCCUACUGGUUGUAAACCUCUUUUGAUAGGGAAGAACACAAUGACGGUACCUAUCGAAUCAGCCUCGGCUAACUCCGUGCCAGCAGCCGCGGUAAUACGGAGGAGGCAAGCGUUAUCCGGAAUUAUUGGGCGUAAAGCGUCCGUAGGUGGUUAUCCAAGUCAGUUGUUAAAGCGUAGAGCUUAACUCUAUGAGGGCAAUUGAAACUGGGUGGCUAGAGUGCGAUAGGGGCAAGGGGAAUUCCCAGUGUAGCGGUGAAAUGCGUAGAUAUUGGGAAGAACAUCGGUGGCGAAGGCGCCUUGCUGGGUCUGCACUGACACUGAGGGACGAAAGCUAGGGGAGCGAAAGGGAUUAGAUACCCCUGUAGUCA
rnacentral:rRNA from 1 species